rnacentral:lncRNA from 1 species
AAAAAAAUUGUCUAUCUACCGACCGUCCCUAGAGCAAGUAGUAAAAGGCUUGGUGGUUGGUACCGAGGUCCCAAGUUCAAAUCCUAGUUGAUUCACAUUUCUGGCUAAGUUUAUUUCUAAAUAAAAUAAACGAAACGGGUGGUGUGCUAUCUAUCUCUCAAAAAAAAGUAUAGUAAACUAUUUUCUAAAAACGUAACGUUUCAUAAAAUUCUCCUUUCCACACUCUUUUUUCCUUAAAAAAAGUUUGAAAACAAAAAAACU